GUGCGUGCCUGUAGUCCCAGCUAACCCGGAGGCUGAGCACUUCACUUCACCAGUUGAAGACCACCUUAUCUGAACUGUGAAAUGGAGAGGAAGUGACUGAAAAAUCGUGUGAGACAAAUCACAAAAAAACAGCAGGCAAUUACAAGAGACAUCUAGGAACAGCUAUGUCCUUAACUUCAAACCAUCUGCUGAACAUGUAGAUACCCUUGGAAACUGCAAGUGUAAGAAUGAAGUGUUCUAAACCUUGGAGUGGAAGCCUUCAGCUGGGAGUCAUUCCAAUGGUCUACAGAGAGAUGGUCAACAUCAGAACCAGAGUAAUAGCAGUGAAGAUGUAAAGGAGAAUAUGAAUGAAAAAAUGUGCACCAGAUUGAAAUCUUAUGACUUCAAAAAUUCUCUUCUAUUGGAAAAAUGGAGAGGAAGAGGAAAGGGUCUAUGAUGACACACAAGUUUCUGACUUGGCAACCUGAAUAGUGUUCAGAAGUGUAACUAAAGGGGAGAUGGAAGAAUAUCGGUAUUUUAUUCUGAUAUAUGUAAAAAUACUUUUAAUCAACUGAUUUUUGGACAUAACUGAGCGAAUUUUUCCAACAAAACUGGCUAUGCUAAAGAACCCCAAAUUACGGUGUUUUGGAUGGCUAAAGAAUGUGCUGAGAUGUUGAUUCCCUGGGCCAUCAAGCUGGUGCAUCCUCAGUGUGAUUGGUAAAUAUUUAUUUCUACAGAGUCCAAGACGUGAGAAUGGUUUUGUGGCAUAAAAGUCAUGAUGUCGACGUAAAACAUUUUCUUGUGACUAGCAAAACAUGUUAAAUUGCAUUGUCCAUUUGUGUAUGAAAAGAGAAAACCUUUAAAAAUCUCUUCUGGGCAUCAUGUUUAGGCACAAAAUUGGGAGUAUUUGUUUUGCAUGCAUUUUAUCUUCUUAAUUAUCUACUUACAUGAAGUCAUCUAUACAAUAGGUAUUAGUGGAACUGGAGAUUGAUAUCAGUAUAAUGGUCAAAUAGCAGGUAUAGAACUGUUAUUUCAAGCAACACCUCAAGAAAGGCAGGUAUGUGUGCAGGACAGAGCUCCGGGUGACCUUGGACUGACCCAGUUCUCUCCCCCUUUCUCAUGUGAGGUUCUCAAACAUAAACAUAGAGAAUAUGCUGGCAGUGCAGCUUGCCGAGAUAAGAAGGAACAGGCUCUAUUCCUGCCCCUCCUGGAACAAGAUGUCCUUCAGCAUUUUAGCUUGGCAAAUUAUGUUAUCCCUGGGAUAUAAAACCCAAGGUACACUGUUUUCAGCUGCAGUGCAGGUGGGGCACACAUAAGAUGCCAGACACCCUGGGCAGCUUUUCUGAGCUUCAGAAAAGCUCAUCAUGAAUUCUAGGGCUCUGCUUCCCCUUACCGCCUAUGUGUGAAUAAUAAAAUUGCUUCACAUAA